UUGUGGGGACUGGGAUAGCUAGCCCACGCCACGACCCGUCUCCCACGUUCCUAUUCAAUCGAGAUGAGCGGCAGUUUUGACGGAGAGUGGCGGUGGCGGUGGCUGGUUUGCUGGACGACGGCAUGGUGCUCAGCGGGUUAGUUCUGCGGGAAAGUCAAUGACGUCAGCGACGUCGUGAUCAGGCGUGUGGCCGCGUUGUCCGGCAGCGCGGCGGCCGACGGGUGGUUGUCGCGGCAGCUCUGGCUCGAGGCUGGAGCACGGUUGCCAAGACUGUACAAGGACAAGCAUCCAUCACGGCCUCCGGAUGUAAGCUGUCAGAAGUCUACGGACAGUCAAGUAAUAGAUACGAACCCUUGAUUGAAGGAGAACUCUGUGCACUUCUGAUAGCAUCUGGACCGUAAAUCUGUAGCAGGUCCUCAACGUAUCAUUCCAAGGCAUACAUGUAGCAGGUCCUGAACAUAUCAUCCAGACCAUGUUUCACACGUCGUGUGCUUAUGUAAUUCGGUUUUUACAAUACAUCUUUUUUGAUCAAUAAGCAUCUACAUUGUUCUUGUAAUCUAAUUAAAGGCCAACUAUUUCUCUGGCAUAUGGUGAAUUGACCAUGGAAGGAUUUGUCUUGCUAAGCA